rfam:Drosophila persimilis strain MSH-3 cont1.011744, whole genome shotgun sequence.
UUGUUGCAUUUUCCAUAGGUUUAUUUGCUACCUUUACUUAUUUUCAUUUGUAGUAUUUUUUGCUUAUUUUUAAAUUCAUAAAAUGGAGGUGUUUAGUCCGUAGGCGUAAUUGAAUUACGAAUCGGGCAUAUCUUUAGCGCCUGCGCUUAAGAUAUCUUUGGAAGAUUCACCGGCCAGAGUCC